rnacentral:rRNA from 1 species
AAAAUUAGAGUGUUCAAAGCAGGCAGAUCCAAUUUUCUGCCACCGAAUACAUUAGCAUGGGAUAAUGGAAUAGGACCCUGUCCUCCUAUUUUCAGUUGGUUUUGGCAGCGCGAGGACUAGGGUAAUGAUUAAUAGGGAUAGUUGGGGGCAUUAAUAUUUAAUUGUCAGAGGUGAAAUUCUUGGAUUUAUGAAAGAUUAACUUCUGCGAAAGCAUCUGCCAAGGAUGUUUUCAUUAAUCAAGAACGAAAGUUAGGGGAUCGAAGACGAUCAGAUACCGUCGUAGUCUUAACCAUAAACGAUGCCGACCAGCGAUUAGGAGACGUUGAAUACAAAACACCACCAUCGGCGCGGCCGUCCUUGGCCGUGCGUCUCGUUUCGGCGAGGCGUUUGGCGGGGGCGGCUUAGCCCGGUGGCACCGGUGAAUGA